AGACCCGAAACCCGGUGAUCUAGCCAUGGGCAGGUUGAAGGUUGGGUAACACUAACUGGAGGACCGAACCGACUAAUGUUGAAAAAUUAGCGGAUGACCUGUGGCUGGGGGUGAAAGGCCAAUCAAACCGGGAGAUAGCUGGUUCUCCCCGAAAGCUAUUUAGGUAGCGCCUCGUGAAUUCAUCUCCGGGGGUAGAGCACUGUUUCGGCUAGGGGGCCAUCCCGGCUUACCAACCCGAUGCAAACUGCGAAUACCGGAGAAUGUUAUCACGGGAGACACACGGCGGGUGCUAACGUCCGUCGUGAAGAGGGAAACAACCCAGACCGCCAGCUAAGGUCCCAAAGUCAUGGUUAAGUGGGAAACGAUGUGGGAAGGCCCAGACAGCCAGGAUGUUGGCUUAGAAGCAGCCAUCAUUUAAAGAAAGCGUAAUAGCUCACUGGUCGAGUCGGCCUGCGCGGAAGAUGUAACGGGGCUAAACCAUGCACCGAAGCUGCGGCAGCGACACUCAGGUGUUGUUGGGUAGGGGAGCGUUCUGUAAGCCUGUGAAGGUGGCCUGUGAGGGUUGCUGGAGGUAUCAGAA
rnacentral:rRNA from 1 species